CAUAAGGCUAAACCUUGUCAGAGCCUGAGCUCAUCAGUUUUCAGAAGCCAAGCAGGCUGGGCCUCGUCUAGUAGUUGGAUGGAAGACCACAGGGAAACCAGGUGCCAUAGUGG
rnacentral:rRNA from 1 species